rnacentral:misc_RNA from 1 species
AAUCUUCAACCCUCUCUUUUCUUAGUGAAUCGAGAGGUGCUUGGAUCCUGAGCGCUGCUGGCUUCGGCCUAGCUCGUUCGUAAUGCAUUAGCAUCCGCAAUCGAACUUCGGAUUGACUUGGCGUAAUAGACUAUUCGCUGAGGAUUCUGGUCUCGUACCAGAGCCGGGUUGGGUUAAAGGAAGCUUCUAAUCCUAAAAGUCUAACUUUUG